GAAAAGGGGCGCCUCCUUCUCCCAACCUCUCUCUCUCUAUCUUCUCUCUGCCGGCGGUCUUGGCGUCGCCGGUGAGCGACGCUGGCCGCCGGUCGCGUCCCUCCUCUCUCCCUCGGUCUCUCUCUCUCCCUCGGUCUCUCUCUGUUUCUCGACCGACGGAGCUCGGCUACCUCCGGAGAGGCCCGUCACUCGAUCUCUGCCGCCUCGUCCAUUUUCAAUGUCGGGGUGCGGUCGGCUCGCCGGUGUGCGCGAGACCAGCCGCCGUUGACUUGCGGGCGUUGGGCAGUGGCGGAAGUGGCGAAGAACAAAGCUGAGGGGCAGCAGCGGUGGCUGCCACCGUGUGACAGCAGCGGCGUCGGCGUGUGCGGCUGCCAAACGGAGCAGCUGUGUGCGUGUGGCUGUCGAGAGUGCAGCAAGGUGUGCGUGGCUGCCUUGUGACUGCAGCAGCGGCUGCCCGGCAGAGGCAGCAGCGGCAUCGUCCGGCCGAGGCAUCGGCUUUAUUAAUUCUAAGCUAUACUCUCAUCUUGAGGUAUCGGGAUUCAAGGCGUGACUGUUGAGCAAGAUCCGAAGGGCAUGGAGAGUAUUUUAUUUUUAAAUAAAUCUUUACUUAAACGUUGAACUCGUGUACGGACUUUUAUUUGAAACUCGGUCUUCACAAACGGACUUUUAUU